UUUUGGCGUGGCCUUCGUGAAAUUAUCAUGCGUAGUCGGGAGAGUGAGGGUUUUCUUUGUUCCGGUGAACGGGUUAUCGGUCGUCGGAAAAGGUGGUCGGCAGCGGUCGCCGCCGGUCGGGCGGUAUGACCAACGGGCCAUAAUGGUCCAAACACCGGUGAACCUUCGCAAGAGAUGACGUUCGUUGGCACUGGUUUGGUGGGGGAAAUUGUCGGAUGGAAAGGGGUUCAUGAAGACGUCGGGGAAGA
rnacentral:lncRNA from 1 species